CCUACGGGUGGCAGCAGUGAGGAAUAUUGGUCAAUGGACGAGAGUCUGAACCAGCCAAGUAGCGUGAAGGAUGACUGCCCUAUGGGUUGUAAACUUCUUUUAUAUGGGAAUAAAAUGUUACACGUGUGGGAUUUUGUAUGUACCAUAUGAAUAAGGAUCGGCUAACUCCGUGCCAGCAGCCGCGGUAAUACGGAGGAUCCGAGCGUUAUCCGGAUUUAUUGGGUUUAAAGGGAGCGUAGGUGGAUUGUUAAGUCAGUUGUGAAAGUUUGCGGCUCAACCGUAAAAUUGCAGUUGAAACUGGCAGUCUUGAGUACAGUAGAGGUGGGCGGAAUUCGUGGUGUAGCGGUGAAAUGCUUAGAUAUCACGAAGAACUCCGAUUGCGAAGGCAGUUCACUGGACUGCAACUGACACUGAGGCUCGAAAGUGUGGGUAUCAAACAGGAUUAGAUACCCGUGUAGUC
rnacentral:rRNA from 1 species